UAGGAGAAGGAUGAGAAGGACAAUUCUCAAAAGAAUCAAUAGAAAGGAGGCGGAGGCGGCGAGGCGUAUGGGAUUGCGAUAACAGGCGGAAGCGGACCUUCGUAUACAGGAGCCGGCGGAGGUGGGUGUGGAGAUAGAUAUUGGUAAGGUGGCGGCGGAGGUGAAGGGGAUGGCGGAGGCUUAUGGUGAACUGGGGGCGGCGGCGGUGGGGGUUCUAUACAGGGAGGAGGAGAAGGUGGUGGGGGUGGCUCGAUACACGGAGGAGGAGGCGGAGGAGAAUGGGGCGGCGAAGGGGGCGGAGGAGAUGAGUAGUGGUAAAUUGGAGGCGGCGGAGAAUGGGGAGGGGGAGGUGGAGAAUAGUGAUGUGGUGGCGGCGGCGGAGACGGGUAGGUCGGCGGAGGAGAGUAAUGGGGGCCAGGAGGCGGCGGAGGCGGAGAGUGAAGCGGAGGCGGGGGAGGCGGCGAGUGGACGCAGUAGAUAGGGGGAGGUGGCGGGGAUGGCGACGGAGGAGGCGGAAGACGGAGGGGCGGGAUGGCGGUGGCGGAGACAGAGGCGGAGAGGAGGGGGCGGAGGCGGCGGAGGCGGCGACGGUGGCGGCGGCGGAGGGAGCUGGGGGACGAAGGGCUUGCACCGGAACGCGGCGCAGUCGACCGGGUGGCUGAGGAACGAGGCGCACUGCCUGGGCGUCCUCUGCGCCGGCCUGUAGGCGAGGCAGUUCCGGCGAUCGUCGUGGGCCGGAACCCUGAGGCACUGGGGCGGCUCCCCGGUGAAGAAGUUGUAGGCGUAG
rnacentral:lncRNA from 1 species